rnacentral:SRP_RNA from 2 species
GCUGGGCAUGGUAGCGGGCGCCUGUAAUCCCAGCUACUUGGGAGGCUGAGGUAGGAGAAUUGCUUGAACCCAGGAGACUGAGGUUGCAGUGAGCUGAGAUCGUGUCACUGUACUUCAGCCUGGGCAACAGAGCAAGACUCCAUCUCAA